rnacentral:rRNA from 1 species
UACGGGGGGGGCAAGCGUUGUUCGGAAUUACUGGGCGUAAAGGGCUCGUAGGCGGCCAACUAAGUCGGACGUGAAAUCCCUCGGCUUAACCGGGGAACUGCGUCCGAUACUGGAUGGCUUGAGUUUGGGAGAGGGAUGCGGAAUUCCAGGUGUAGCGGUGAAAUGCGUAGAUAUCUGGAGGAACACCGGUGGCGAAGGCGGCAUCCUGGACCAAGUACUGACGCUGAGUGAGCGAAAGCCAGGGGAGCAAACGGG